ensembl:lincRNA
GAGAUUAAUGUGUAUGUGGGGUAAACCUACCUGGGUAGUAGUAUGGUAAGGACUGGCCUCUCAAAGGAGGUAGUAUUUAAACUAAGGGGCCAAAAGGUAGCAGAUGAAGUCAGAAGCAAGGGCCAAACCUCAGAGCACCUUCUGGUCAUGCUGAGGAUUGGCUAAUCCUACCGCCAUUCCAGUCCUGUGGCACCUUGGAUCUGCUAAUGGAACCAGCUUGCAUGACAAU